AUGCAGUCGAGCGAAUGGAUUAAGAGCUUGCUCUUAUGAAGUUAGCGGCGGACGGGUGAGUAACACGUGGGUAACCUGCCCAUAAGACUGGGAUAACUCCGGGAAACCGGGGCUAAUACCGGAUAACAUUUUGAACCGCAUGGUUCGAAAUUGAAAGGCGGCUUCGGCUGUCACUUAUGGAUGGACCCGCGUCGCAUUAGCUAGUUKGGKGAGGUAACGGCUCACCAAGGCAACGAUGCGUAGCCGACCUGAGAGGGUGAUCGGCCACACUGGGACUGAGACACGGCCCAGACUCCUACGGGAGGCAGCAGUAGGGAAUCUUCCGCAAUGGACGAAAGUCUGACGGAGCAACGCCGCGUGAGUGAUGAAGGCUUUCGGGUCGUAAAACUCUGUUGUUAGGGAAGAACAAGUGCUAGUUGAAUAAGCUGGCACCUUGACGGUACCUAACCAGAAAGCCACGGCUAACUACGUGCCAGCAGCCGCGGUAAUACGUAGGUGGCAAGCGUUAUCCGGAAUUAUUGGGCGUAAAGCGCGCGCAGGUGGUUUCUUAAGUCUGAUGUGAAAGCCCACGGCUCAACCGUGGAGGGUCU
rnacentral:rRNA from 1 species